UACGGGGGGGGCAAGCGUUGUUCGGAAUUACUGGGCGUAAAGGGCUCGUAGGCGGCCAACUAAGUCGGACGUGAAAUCCCCAGGCUCAACCUGGGAACUGCGUCCGAUACUGGAUGGCUUGAAUCCGGGAGAGGGAUGCAGAAUUCCAGGUGUAGCGGUGAAAUGCGUAGAUAUCGGGAGGAACACCAAUGGCGAAGGCAGCUCGCUGGGACGGUACUGACGCUGAGACGCGAAAGCGUGGGGAGCAAACAGG
rnacentral:rRNA from 1 species